rnacentral:miRNA from 11 species
AAAAACUUCCAUAUCUUGUAUAUUUAUAGUUAAACUCUUUUUGAAUAUUGCUCCUUGUCAUGUAUGCAUAUGUAUUUUUCAAAAUUAGGCAGGGGGCAUAAGGAUU